ACGCUGGCGGCGUGCCUAAUACAUGCAAGUCGAACGAGUUCUCGUUGAUGAUCGGUGCUUGCACCGAGAUUCAACAUGGAACGAGUGGCGGACGGGUGAGUAACACGUGGGUAACCUGCCCUUAAGUGGGGGAUAACAUUUGGAAACAGAUGCUAAUACCGCAUAGAUCCAAGAACCGCAUGGUUCUUGGCUGAAAGAUGGCGUAAGCUAUCGCUUUUGGAUGGACCCGCGGCGUAUUAGCUAGUUGGUGAGGUAAUGGCUCACCAAGGCGAUGAUACGUAGCCGAACUGAGAGGUUGAUCGGCCACAUUGGGACUGAGACACGGCCCAAACUCCUACGGGAGGCAGCAGUAGGGAAUCUUCCACAAUGGACGCAAGUCUGAUGGAGCAACGCCGCGUGAGUGAAGAAGGCUUUCGGGUCGUAAAACUCUGUUGUUGGAGAAGAAUGGUCGGCAGAGUAACUGUUGUCGGCGUGACGGUAUCCAACCAGAAAGCCACGGCUAACUACGUGCCAGCAGCCGCGGUAAUACGUAGGUGGCAAGCGUUAUCCGGAUUUAUUGGGCGUAAAGCGAGCGCAGGCGGUUUUUUAAGUCUGAUGUGAAAGCCCUCGGCUUAACCGAGGAAGCGCAUCGGAAACUGGGAAACUUGAGUGCAGAAGAGGACAGUGGAACUCCAUGUGUAGCGGUGAAAUGCGUAGAUAUAUGGAAGAACACCAGUGGCGAAGGCGGCUGUCUGGUCUGUAACUGACGCUGAGGCUCGAAAGCAUGGGUAGCGAACAGGAUUAGAUACCCUGGUAGUCCAUGCCGUAAACGAUGAAUGCUAGGUGUUGGAGGGUUUCCGCCCUUCAGUGCCGCAGCUAACGCAUUAAGCAUUCCGCCUGGGGAGUACGACCGCAAGGUUGAAACUCAAAGGAAUUGACGGGGGCCCGCACAAGCGGUGGAGCAUGUGGUUUAAUUCGAAGCAACGCGAAGAACCUUACCAGGUCUUGACAUCUUUUGAUCACCUGAGAGAUCAGGUUUCCCCUUCGGGGGCAAAAUGACAGGUGGUGCAUGGUUGUCGUCAGCUCGUGUCGUGAGAUGUUGGGUUAAGUCCCGCAACGAGCGCAACCCUUAUGACUAGUUGCCAGCAUUUAGUUGGGCACUCUAGUAAGACUGCCGGUGACAAACCGGAGGAAGGUGGGGAUGACGUCAAAUCAUCAUGCCCCUUAUGACCUGGGCUACACACGUGCUACAAUGGAUGGUACAACGAGUUGCGAGACCGCGAGGUCAAGCUAAUCUCUUAAAGCCAUUCUCAGUUCGGACUGUAGGCUGCAACUCGCCUACACGAAGUCGGAAUCGCUAGUAAUCGCGGAUCAGCACGCCGCGGUGAAUACGUUCCCGGGCCUUGUACACACCGCCCGUCACACCAUGAGAGUUUGUAACACCCGAAGCCGGUGGCGUAACCCUUUUAGGGAGCGAGCCGUCUAAGGUGGGACAAAUGAUUAGGGG
rnacentral:rRNA from 2 species